rnacentral:rRNA from 1 species
UACGUAGGGUGCGAGCGUUGUCCGGAAUUAUUGGGCGUAAAGGGCUCGUAGGCGGUUUGUCGCGUCGGGAGUGAAAACCAGGUGCUUAACACCUGGCUUGCUUUCGAUACGGGCAGACUAGAGGUAUGCAGGGGAGAACGGAAUUCCUGGUGUAGCGGUGAAAUGCGCAGAUAUCAGGAGGAACACCGGUGGCGAAGGCGGUUCUCUGGGCAUGACCUGACGCUGAGGAGCGAAAGUGUGGGGAGCGAACAGGAUUAGAAACCCGGUAGUCC